UGAAAAACCAGCAAUUUGCCACCCAGACAGUCCCUCGCUUUGGAAGCCGAAAAAACAAGACCUUCCGGCCCUGCUUUUGUUUCCCUUGGUUAAACACGCAUGUCACAGUUGACCUUUCUCUGGGUCAGGCUUUAUAUUGCUUGACAUGUUUCCAACGUAAUAGAACUGUUUAGCUGCCAUCCCCAGGGCCCGUAUAUUUAUUAAGCCUCAAUGAGUUGCAUCUGUCUGCUUGAAUCAAGAGGAGCAAUCAGCCCGGGUCAGACAUGUUGUAAUGGAGAAAUAUAGACACGUAGGGGGACACACACACACACUCACACAUGCAGACGUGGGCAGAUUUGCAGCGGAUAAAUGCCCUCGCUUAUAAAAGAGACCUCCAUUUGCAACUACUACAAUUGUAUGGCUUGGAUUCUACUGUAUUGUGUUUACUAGAAGCUGUUAUAUGAGGCGAGAUGACUUUUGUAAUGAAAGUUAAUGUCAAAGAGCGCUUAUUUUCCUCAAGACGGCUCCGUUUGCGGCCUGGUGAAAGAGAGACGUCAUUGGCUCGAUGGCUCGCAGCAUGUAUGGAUACAAAUAUGCUGCUGCAACAGAAAAAGCCAGUUACGAGUGGAUGUGCUGUUCAAGGACAAACCUUGAGCGCAGAGGAAGGACGUGCUAAAUCAAGACAAAUGGUGUUGCCCAUCUCGCCGGGCGUCCACGCCUCUUGAAGGUUUAGGAGGAAUCGGGACAGCUGGAGCAGGCGGCAGUGGGGAGACGGGCAGAGCGCCUCCUCUCGCUGUCGGGGCCUCCGCAGGUCAGUGCCUCCACCCGAAGGGACGGCAGAGCGAAACGCUAUCAAUUCCCAAACAAAGGAGCCACUUCAGCCGCCACAAAGGAAACAUAUGUGAUGGAGCUGACUGGUGAGCAGCAGCUCACUUGAACAUGUCAGCUUCUCCUAAUUAGCUUUGUUAAGUCCCUCUGCUGUCUUCCCAACUGAGGCCUCUCUCGGGCUCAUGUGGGCUUUGUGUUUACAAGGGCAAAGGCUCCGACCGGCUCCCAAAACACACAUUUCUCUUUUGCUUGAAAGGCUCGCUGAUUUAAUUCUUCCUCAAACGAGCGUCAUUGCACAGAUAUAGAUAGAUUGACACACAAGUGACAUAUUGAUUUUGUUUGUGCAAUCAAGCAUAGCUUUACAGCCCCUUUGGCUGCACAGCUUAACGUGCGUUACACCCGCUUGGGUGUGCACGUGGUGACAUGCUUUACAUGCACGCACCUGCCCCGCCAUUAUUAGCUUGGAUGAAGUGUCACUAGGUUUUAAAAACAGGGGAGACCCCAGGAGUAGUCUUGGGUAUCGUUUACAUAUUAUUCCACAUGGGUGCCAAAUCAGUGGAGCCGGCUGGCCCAUUAGGCAAUAUAGGCAAAUGCUAAAAGCGCCGUGACCUUCAGGGGGUUCCAAAACAAUUCCCAUUCUAAUAUAAUUGUAUUAAAUUUAUAUUGGCAUUGUAAAUAUAAAAAUAAUAACAAAUAAUAAAUAAGCAAGGUUGCAGAGUAGUUAGCACGCAGGCCUCACAGCUGGGAGACCCGAGUU